rnacentral:rRNA from 1 species
CCCUUAGAUGUUCUGGGCCGCACGCGCGCUACACUGAUGCAUUCAACGAGCCUAUCCUUGACCGACAGGUCCGGGUAAUCUUUGAAUCUGCAUCGUGACGGGGAUAGAUUAUUGCAAUUAUUAAUCUUCAACGAGGAAUGCCUAGUAGGCGUAAGUCAUCAGCUUGCGUCGAUUACGUCCCUGCCCUUUGUACACACCGCCCGUCGCUCCUACCGAUUGGGUGUGCUGGUGAAAUGUUCGGAUCGGCCGUUUGUCGCGGUUUCCGCGUCAUGUGGCUGAGAAGUUCAUUAAACCCUCCCACCUAGAGGAAGGAGAAGUCGUAACA